rnacentral:rRNA from 1 species
GACGAACGCUGGCGGCGUGCCUAAUACAUGCAAGUAGAACGGUGAAGCGAGGAGCUUGCUCUGCUUGGAUGAGUUGCGAACGGGUGAGUAACGCGUAGAUAAUCUGCCUUGUAGCGGGGGAUAACUAUUGGAAACGAUAGCUAAUACCGCAUAACAACUGAUGACACAUGUCGUUUAUUUGAAAUGGGUAAUUGCUCUACUACAAGAUGGACCUGCGUUGUAUUAGCUAGUAGGUGAGGUAAAGGCUCACCUAGGCGACGAAACAUAGCCGACCUGAAAGGGUGGACGGCCAACCUGGGACCGGGACCAGGCCCAGAAUGCCUCGGGUAGGAGCCGUAGGGGAACUUCGGGCAUGGGGGGAAAGCUGAACGCAGAACGCCGCGGGAGUGGAGAAGGUUUUCGGGUCGGAAAGCUCUGUUGUAAGUGAAGAAAGAGUGUGAGAGUGGAAAGUUCACGCUGUGACGGUAGCUAACCAGAAAGCAACGGCUAACUACGUG